GACGAACGCUGGCGGCGUGCUUAACACAUGCAAGUCGAACGAUGAAGCCGGAGCUUGCUCUGGUGAAUUAGUGGCGAACGGGUGAGUAACACGUGAGUAACCUGCCCUUGACUCUGGGAUAACUGCUAGAAAUGGUAGCUAAUACCGGAUACGACCCUCGGAGGCAUCUCCAGGGGGUGGAAAGAAUUUAGGUCAAGGAUGGACUCGCGGCCGAUCAGCUAGUUGGUGAGGUAACGGCUCACCAAGGCGACGACGGGUAGCCGGCCUGAGAGGGUGACCGGCCACACUGGGACUGAGACACGGCCCAGACUCCUACGGGAGGCAGCAGUGUGGAAUAUUGCACAAUGGGCGCAAGCCUGAUGCAGCAACGCCGCGUGAGGGAUGACGGCCUUCGGGUUGUAAACCUCUUUUAGUAGGGAAGAAGCGAAAGUGACGGUACCUGCAGAAAAAGCACCGGCUAACUACGUGCCAGCAGCCGCGGUAA
rnacentral:rRNA from 1 species